GGGACUAUUCUGACUCACUCACCUCUGUGUUGAUGGUGCCCUUUGGCGUCAGUUUCAAAGUAAUUCAUUCACAUCUGCUCGGCAAGUACACAUUGCAUGCUCAUUAAUUCCAGGUGCUGUUAGGGUUCCCGGGGAUGCAGCAGUAAAGAAAGCAGAGUUCCUGACCUCAUGGAGCAAUACUUGCAUGUGGGAGGAGACAGAUGUGGCAAAUAAGUAAAUAUAUAGCACAUCAGCGGUGAUAACCUGCUCCGCCUCCUGGAUUUUCCAGAAACCUCUGGCUUCUCCCUUCUUCCUCAGGGGUGUGUGGCUCUCUGGUGGGGAAUUAUCAACCAACAUAGUGGGAGAUGCUGAAGCCCGAGCGAUGAGCAAAGUGAACACAGAGCACUGGGAAGCUGAGGUGCAGAUGCACGAAGGGAAGAAGCUGGGAAGAAGCUGGAGGAAAGGAGUGAAGGAAAUAGGAUGAUGGAGCCAAAACUGGGACUAGGGAGGCCAGACCUGGGAAAGAAGGUGGGAGCUGAAGUGGGGAUCCUGAGGAUGUUAACUGAAAAACCACGAGAUCUAUAAGCAACUCUUUAACCGAAAGGAGAGACUCUGCUGGUAGAAGUUUACCUGUUGGGGGUGACUCAGGCAGAGCUAAGCUAGCCCUGCAAUGACUCCAAAUGAUCCUGCAAGGUGGGGGCAGACACAGGAGAGGAAAACAGCCCCAUCCUGGCCUGCUGGUCAAAGCACACACGUGUGCUCUCUUCUCUCCCUCCCUCUCUGCUCUGUCUCUCUCUCUCCCUCCUUUUCUCUCUGUUUCUGUCUUUCUCUCUCUGUACCUUGGCAGCUAACCUGGCAUUCUGAACUCCACCCCCAACCCUGUCGGUGCCUCUUUUGACCCUGAGUAGCUCUUUUCUCUCUUUCCCUACUUCCUACUUCUUACCACUGCCUGGAGAGGUUAUUCUUAGCCACUUGCUGAACAGUUACUUGUUUCAUUUAAACAAACAAAAAAGAAACAAAACCUGCCUAAUGUGGCAGUAGACUUGAAUUUAAAGAAAAUGUAUUUCAAACUGGGAAGAAGAGAAAAAUUUUUUCUUAAAUGCAACUUAUUUUCAUUGAUUCUGAAAGCAAUACAUAUUUAUUGUAGAGAGAAAUUGGAUUGUACAGAGAAGCACAAAGAAUAAAAUUAUAGUUAUCCAUUAUUCCAUGGUCAGAGAUAACUGGAAUUAACAUAAGGAUAUUGCUUUGGCUUGAAUGUUUGUGUCUUUUCCAAAAUUCAUGCUGAGGCCG
rnacentral:lncRNA from 10 species